rnacentral:lncRNA from 1 species
CCACGGAGGACGUGGUUGUGGUGCGGUCUCUGGCUUGGCUGGUUGGCCUUUGAAAGGCCUGCUCCCGGCUGAGUCAUUUGUUACCUGUGGGACGGUCCCUCCAGGGGCAGCAAGGCCCCAGACAUCAAAGCAUCAAGUUACAGAAACUAGGAAAUAUGGCUAUUCCAGAGCCACAAAACUUCUUCCCUGAGCUCCUCCUUGACAAAGACCUGCUAACAUCUCAAAGCCCUGCUCAGAUGUGCUUCCUCCAAGAGACCUGUCGGAACUGUCUCCCCACCGUGCCUUCGGUCCCCUGAAGUCUGUAUCACUGUUUUUUUGUGAUCAUUGCCACCUGUGUCAUUCUCCCCUUCUACCCCAUGAGCCUCUGGGAAAGAGGGACGUGUUAAUCAGUUCCGAAUCUCCUCCCACCACCCUCAGGCCUGGAGUGACGCUGGCCCCAGCAGGUGCAUGCCAAGUUGCUGAAAACCCAGUGCUGAGCGACAGAAGGGACGCGGAUGCCCACGGGCUUUGUGACAGGGUUUUCCUCCGCGCUGGUAAAUCCCCAAGUUCACAUGCGACGAUUCUUGACCAAGGCGACGAUGGCCAGAACCGAAUUCCCUGAUUGAAGCUUCCUCGGGAAUGUAUCGUGCAAGUUGGGACACCGAAGGUCAAGGCUUUGGAAUCACGCUGCAAAUAUCUCUGAUCCUGCCUCCUAAAAUACAGCCAGACCAAGAAUGAUGUCGCCAUGCAGUGAGUGAAAGCAAGAUCCCCCGCCUUGAGAAAAGAUUGUGCUUCACUAACCAGACGCUUGGUUCAUGGCAGUCUAAGUGGUUUCUGUUGUAGGGGGGAGAAACAAAAACACAAGUGACUUUUGCUAUGUGAGAAUGCAGAAGGAAGAGCCCAGGGCUAAUUAUUCAAAACCACGGGGAGGUAGACAGUGGCCUGUUUCCUCCAGUGCGAGAGGAGACAAUAAUGGCACCCAUCUCCUAGGACUUUGGUGUGAGGACGGCAUGAGUUAAGGCACUGUCCUAAGUGUCAGACAUUUAGGCCCAUGCCAGGCCUCUAGUAGGUGCUCAGUUUGUUAGCUGUCCUUU